AGAGUUUGAUCCUGGCUCAGGAUGAACGCUAGCUACAGGCUUAACACAUGCAAGUCGAGGGGCAGCAUGGUCUUAGCUUGCUAAGACUGAUGGCGACCGGCGCACGGGUGAGUAACACGUAUCCAACCUGCCGUCUACUCUUGGACAGCCUUCUGAAAGGAAGAUUAAUACAAGAUGGCAUCAUGAGUCCGCAUGUUCACAUGAUUAAAGGUAUUCCGGUAGACGAUGGGGAUGCGUUCCAUUAGAUAGUAGGCGGGGUAACGGCCCACCUAGUCUUCGAUGGAUAGGGGUUCUGAGAGGAAGGUCCCCCACAUUGGAACUGAGACACGGUCCAAACUCCUACGGGAGGCAGCAGUGAGGAAUAUUGGUCAAUGGGCGAGAGCCUGAACCAGCCAAGUAGCGUGAAGGAUGACUGCCCUAUGGGUUGUAAACUUCUUUUAUAAAGGAAUAAAGUCGGGUAUGCAUACCCGUUUGCAUGUACUUUAUGAAUAAGGAUCGGCUAACUCCGUGCCAGCAGCCGCGGUAAUACGGAGGAUCCGAGCGUUAUCCGGAUUUAUUGGGUUUAAAGGGAGCGUAGAUGGAUGUUUAAGUCAGUUGUGAAAGUUUGCGGCUCAACCGUAAAAUUGCAGUUGAUACUGGAUAUCUUGAGUGCAGUUGAGGCAGGCGGAAUUCGUGGUGUAGCGGUGAAAUGCUUAGAUAUCACGAGGAACUCCGAUUGCGAAGGCAGCCUGCUAAGCUGCAACUGACAUUGAGGCUCGAAAGUGUGGGUAUCAAACAGGAUUAGAUACCCUGGUAGUCCACACGGUAAACGAUGAAUACUCGCUGUUUGCGAUAUACGGCAAGCGGCCAAGCGAAAGCGUUAAGUAUUCCACCUGGGGAGUACGCCGGCAACGGUGAAACUCAAAGGAAUUGACGGGGGCCCGCACAAGCGGAGGAACAUGUGGUUUAAUUCGAUGAUACGCGAGGAACCUUACCCGGGCUUAAAUUGCAGAUGAAUUACGGUGAAAGCCGUAAGCCGCAAGGCAUCUGUGAAGGUGCUGCAUGGUUGUCGUCAGCUCGUGCCGUGAGGUGUCGGCUUAAGUGCCAUAACGAGCGCAACCCUUGUUGUCAGUUACUAACAGGUUCUGCUGAGGACUCUGACAAGACUGCCAUCGUAAGAUGUGAGGAAGGUGGGGAUGACGUCAAAUCAGCACGGCCCUUACGUCCGGGGCUACACACGUGUUACAAUGGGGGCUACAGAGGGCCGCUACCACGCGAGUGGAUGCCAAUCCCCAAAACCUCUCUCAGUUCGGACUGGAGUCUGCAACCCGACUCCACGAAGCUGGAUUCGCUAGUAAUCGCGCAUCAGCCACGGCGCGGUGAAUACGUUCCCGGGCCUUGUACACACCGCCCGUCAAGCCAUGGGAGCCGGGGGUACCUGAAGUGCGUAACCGCGAGGAGCGCCCUAGAGUAAAACUGGUGACUGGGGCUAAGUCGUAACAAGGUA
rnacentral:rRNA from 1 species